AACGUAGGGGGCCAGCGUUGCUCGGAAUUACUGGGCGUAAAGGGUUCGUAGGCGGUGCGGCAAGUCGGGAGUGAAAUCUCACGGCUUAACUGUGAGGCUGCUUCCGAAACUGCUGUGCUCGAGUGCGGGAGAGGCGAGUGGAAUUGCAGGUGUAGCGGUGAAAUGCGUAGAUAUCUGCAGGAACACCCGUGGCAAAGGCGGCUCGCUGGACCGCAACUGACGCUGAGGAACGAAAGCUAGGGGAGCAAAC
rnacentral:rRNA from 1 species